rnacentral:rRNA from 1 species
GUGUCAGCAGCCGCGGUAAUACAGAGGGUGCAAGCGUUAAUCGGAAUUACUGGGCGUAAAGCGCACGUAGGUGGUUUGAUAAGUCGGAUGUGAAAUCCCCGGGCUUAACCUGGGAAUGGCAUUCGAUACUGUCUAACUAGAGUCUGGUAGAGGGUGGUGGAAUUCCAGGUGUAGCGGUGAAAUGCGUAGAUAUCUGGAGGAACAUCAGUGGCGAAGGCGGCCACCUGGACUGAGACUGACACUGAGGUGCGAAAGCGUGGGGAGCAAACAGGAUUAGAUACCCUCGUAGUCC